rnacentral:tRNA from 1 species
GGAUGGGUGGCCGAGCGGCUUAAGGCGCACGCUUGGAAAGCGUGUGUGCGUGCGAGCGUACCGUGGGUUCGAAUCCCACCCCAUCCGCCA